rnacentral:rRNA from 1 species
UUGGGGAAAAAUUAGUAUAAAAAAUAUUAUUAAAAAUAAUUUUAAUGUAAAAUAUUAUAAUGGGGGUUAAAGUAUUUUAUAAAAAAAAAAUUAUAUAAUUUAUAGUAAAUUAGUAUUGUGAAAGAAUUUUGAAAUAGUUGAAAAUUAAUUAUAAAAAAAGUAAAUUUAAUUUAUUGUAUCUUGUGUAUCAGAGUUUAUUAAUAAAAAUUUUUUGAGUAAAUAAUUCUCGAAUUUAAAAGAUCUAAUUAAUUAAUAAAUUUAUUGUGGCAAAAAUAUUUUUAAUAAUUAAUUAGAAAUGAGAUGUUAAUCGUUUUUAAAUAUAUCUAGUUUUUUUAGAAAAAAAUUUAAUUUUAAAUUUAAUUUAAUUAAAAAAUUUAAUUAAAAAAUUUUUUUAAAUAUUAAAUUUGAUAUUUUAAGGGAUAAGCUUUAAUUUAAAUUUUUAUAAUAAAGUUAAAAUUUUUGAAAAUUUUAAAAUUUAUAUUGUUUAAAAAUUAUAAUUUUUUAUAAAUAAUUUCAAAUAAAAUAAAAUUUAAUUUAAUAAUUUAAUUUUUUAUAAAAAAAUAAAAUUUAAUUUUUUUUAUUUAGUUAUAAUGAUAAAAUUAGUAUAAAUAUAAAUUAUUAAUUAAGUGAAAUAUUAAUAUACUUGUAAAAUUAAUUAUAAGGAAUUCGGCAAAAAUUUAUAUUCACUUGUUUAUCAAAAACAUGUCUUUUUGAAAAUAAUUUAAAGUCUAAUCUGCCCACUGAUGAAAAAUUAAAGGGCUGCAGUAUUUUGACUGUACAAAGGUAGCAUAAUCAUUAGUCUCUUAAUUGGUGACUUGUAUGAAAGAUUGGAUGAGAUAUAAUCUGUCUUAUUAUUAUUAUUAGAAUUUAAUUUUUUAAUUAAAAAGUUAAAAUGUAUUUAAAAGACGAGAAGACCCUAUAGAGUUUAAUAUAAAUUUUGGUUAUAAAUUUUUUUAUAAAUAUUAAUCAAGUUUAAAUUAAUUUUUAUAUUUUGUUGGGGUGAUAAAAAAAUAAAAAUAACUUUUUUUAUAAUUUAAAUAUAUAUAUAUAUAUAUAUAUAUAUAUAUAUAUAUAUUUAUUAAACAUAAAUAAAUGAAUAAAUGAUCCAUAAAUUAUGAUUAAAAGAUUAAAUUACCUUAGGGAUAACAGCGUAAUUUUAUUUUUUAGUUCAAAUAAAAAAUAAAGUUUGCGACCUCGAUGUUGGAUUAAGAUAAAAUUUAAAUGCAAAAGUUUAAAAUUUUGAUCUGUUCGAUCAUUAAAAUCUUACAUGAUCUGAGUUCAAACCGGUGUAAGCCAGGUUGGUUUCUAUCUUUAGAAAAUUAAAAUAUUUUAGUACGAAAGGAUCAGAUAUUUGAAAUAAUUUCAGUUUAAUGAAUUUUAUUAAUUUUUUUUUAAAAAUAAUUUAAA